UAACACUUGAACAGAGUAUAACAAAACUUAAUGCUCCUAAAACAGGCUUAAUUGUGUUUAUACAAUAGAUUUUCUUUUUUCUUUUGAAUUUUGGGUGAAAUGUGACCUGGACAUAUUUUUGUGAGAUUCACCUACUUUCCCUGUUAUUUAAUUCUAGCAUAAUAUAAUCCUAUUUGCCUAAUCAGAAUCCAUCUGUAAAAUGAUUGGCACAUUAUUUGCACAUUUAAACACGAUUCUUUUUUAGGGGUGACGUUUUCGAGCAUUUUCCGAAACUACCUCUCAAACCACUCCCAAAGAAACAGAUCCUGAAGGUUAAAGGAGAACCCGUGCUCCUCCCGGCCAUCAAGCACAGUCUCGGCAGCAGCAUGUCCGAGCGGCAGAGGAGAGCGCAGGACGAGCACAGACUGCGUCUCAGGAGAGCGGUGAACUCUUAACCCUCCUCUGCAGUGCUUCUGUCAUUGUGCCUUCCUGUUUGCUGAUUAGAAGAGACGGGAGGAAUUUAGCGAACGGCUGUUGAUCACGUUUGAUUCCCUAAUGAACUAAAUAAGAAUCUUUCCAGAGAAGCAGCCAAAUGUCAAAGAUGAGACGAGAGCUGAGCUAAGCUGCACGUCCUUCAACAGGAAGUUCCGUAAACUCUGAGAGAGACACAAUAUAUACAACCAAAUCUCUUAGAAAACCUUGAUUUGAUGUGAAUUUCCCUGAAGGUUCCAAAAGGCUGAUUUGAGCUUGACAAUGCAGUCUAAAUUCUGCUUUAACUCUCUUUAAAUAAAUGCACCAGCAACAUUUUAUAACAUGUUAUUAUUUUUGUAGAGUUCUUGUUCCUGGACUCAUGCAGUGACCUGUAAGUGUUCAUUUCUUCACUAAGGCUGAGUAUGUUUUAUCUGUAGUGCACUAGUGUAUUAUGGCCGUUGAGAAGUUUUUAUAGUGCGUCCUUUUGGAUCUCUAACUGAUGACUACAACCCAUUGGAUCAGUGCCCGGGCCUCCAGCAGACACCACAUAGUAUUACUGUGUUUAAGAGCCUUAUUAAGUAAUGGGUUUUAGAUGGCACUAUCUCAUUCAGUUCAAUUCAAUCAGAUGCUUUAGAUGUCUCAAACAGCAAAAGUUCAACACGUUUCUCUAAUUCAGUUUACCCA